GGAAGAUUUCCUGGAUAGGAGAAAUUAAUACGAUUUGAUCUCAUAUCUUACCAAAAUGGAAUUAUAUAUUCAGAAUGAUACCGGUUAAGGACCAUGUGGCAUGGUAAAAAAUGAUACAGGCAGCUUUUUCAAAGUUUGCUGGAGGAAGAAGCCAAAAAUAAAUUAAAAAAUACUGUCAAAGAAGACAUGAGUGGGAGGGCUAGCAAUCCCUAAUAUAAUAGAUCAGAAUGUCUGUAUGAUUUGACAUAUGCCAUUACCACUUAAAUG